rnacentral:rRNA from 1 species
UGGGGAAUAUUGGACAAUGGGCGAAAGCCUGAUCCAGCCAUGCCGCGUGUGUGAAGAAGGCCUUCGGAUUGUAAAGCACUUUAAGUUGGGAGGAAGGGCAGUAAGCGAAUACCUUGCUGUUUUGACGUUACCGACAGAAUAAGCACCGGCUAACUCCGUGCCAGCAGCCGCGGUAAUACAGAGGGUGCAAGCGUUAAUCGGAAUUACUGGGCGUAAAGCGCGCGUAGGUGGUUCUGUAAGUUGAAUGUGAAAGCCCCGAGCUCAACCUGGGAACUGCAUCAGAGACUGGCGGGCUAGAGUAGGGCAGAGGGUGGUGGAAUUUCCUGUGUAGCGGUGAAAUGCGUAGAUAUAGGAAGGAACACCAGUGGCGAAGGCGACCACCUGGGCUCAUACUGACACUGAGGUGCGAAAGCGUGGGGAGCAAACAGG